AAAUUGAAGAGUUUGAUCAUGGCUCAGAUUGAACGCUGGCGGCAGGCCUAACACAUGCAAGUCGAACGGUAACAGGAAACAGCUUGCUGUUUCGCUGACGAGUGGCGGACGGGUGAGUAAUGUCUGGGAAACUGCCCGAUGGAGGGGGAUAACUACUGGAAACGGUAGCUAAUACCGCAUAACGUCGCAAGACCAAAGAGGGGGACCUUCGGGCCUCUUGCUAUCGGAUGUGCCCAGAUGGGAUUAGCUAGUAGGUGGGGUAACGGCUCACCUAGGCGACGAUCCCUAGCUGGUCUGAGAGGAUG
rnacentral:rRNA from 1 species